GAUGAACGCUGGCGGCGUGCUUAACACAUGCAAGUCGAACGGAAAGGCCCUGCUCUUGUGGGGUGCUCGAGUGGCGAACGGGUGAGUAACACGUGAGUAACCCGUCCUUGACUUUGGGAUAACAUCAGGAAACAGGGGCUAAUACCGGAUAGGAGCUCUUGAUGCACGGUGGGGGUUGGAAAGUUACGGCGGUUGGGGCUGGACUCGAGGCUUAUCAGCUAGUUGGUGAAGUAGUGGCUUACCAAGGGUUUGACGGGUAGCCGGCCUGAGAGGGUGACCGGCGACAAUAGGACUGCGAUACGGCCCAGUCGCCAACGGGAGGCAGCAGUGGAAAGUAUUACGGAGCGAGCGCACGCCUGAGAUGACGGCGCCGCGUGCGGAAUGCCGGCCUUCGAGUUAUGAACCGCUGUCGCAUGAGACAUGGCGUGAGUGACGGUAAUGGAUAAGGAAGCACCGGCUAACUACGUG
rnacentral:rRNA from 1 species